AGUGUGGUGGCAUAGUGAUUUGUGUGUUGGAUUAUGACUCUGGAGACCAGAGUUCGAUUCUCCACUUGGCCA